GAUAGAGAUAAGAAAGGCCAAUGCCCUUCAUAUCCACUGACAAAGCCAGAUAUAUUAAGGAGAAGCUCAGCUCAGCACUCAGCCAAGGCCCAUUCUGGCAAGAUGAAUCCCACCAGCUUCUUCCUCCUUACAAUGCUCCUCGUUCUGGUGACAGAAACAGCAGCAAGGAGACCCCGUGAAAAAUUCUCACAAGAGUCUGAAGAGAGUUCUUCUAGUGCAGCCUCUGAAGUUACUUCAUCGGGGGAAAGCGGGGGAUCAAGUUCUUCCCAGGACGACAACAGCCCAAGUGAUAAGUCAGGGGGUUCCUCCUUUAAAAAAUCAAGCAGCAUGUUCAAGGAGACAGUCUAUGAGGAAAGGAAGAAAAAACAGAGUGGUGGUGACGGUGGUGAUGGUGAUGGUAAGAGUGACUCAGAACUAGAGCGGUCUUAUGUAAGGAGAAAGGAAAAGCAACGGGUUGCACAAGAAGUAGCUAAAUAAUGUGGCUAUGAACCAACUGUCAAGUGGACAAAAGUAAUGGUUACCUGACCGCUCCCAAGGAGUUGCAUAAUCUGCAUGAAGCCUAUGGUAUCUUCAGGAUGGAGACUCCCAUGAGGUUCCAGAGACAGUUUGUGGAUUUCACUCACUUCUCCAUGUUUGUUUUUGAGAUUAAAAACCCAACAUUUGUUAAAAUACCUUCUUUCCAAUAAAAGACUACAUUUUGCAUCA
rnacentral:lncRNA from 1 species